AUUGAACGCUGGCGGAAUGCUUUACACAUGCAAGUCGAACGGCAGCACGGGGGCAACCCUGGUGGCGAGUGGCGAACGGGUGAGUAAUACAUCGGAACGUGCCCAAUCGUGGGGGAUAACGUAGCGAAAGCUACGCUAAUACCGCAUACGAUCUACGGAUGAAAGCGGGGGAUCGCAAGACCUCGCGCGAAUGGAGCGGCCGAUGGCAGAUUAGGUAGUUGGUGGGGUAAAGGCUCACCAAGCCGACGAUCUGUAGCUGGUCUGAGAGGACGACCAGCCACACUGGGACUGAGACACGGCCCAGACUCCUACGGGAGGCAGCAGUGGGGAAUUUUGGACAAUGGGCGCAAGCCUGAUCCAGCCAUUCCGCGUGCAGGAAGAAGGCCUCGGUUGU
rnacentral:rRNA from 1 species